rnacentral:rRNA from 1 species
UACGUAGGGCGCAAGCGUUGUCCGGAAUUAUUGGGCGUAAAGAGCUCGUAGGCGGUUUGUCGCGUCUGUCGUGAAAGCUUGGGGCUUAACCCCAAGUCUGCGGUGGAUACGGGCAGACUAGAGGCAGGUAGGGGAGAACGGAAUUCCCGGUGUAGCGGUGAAAUGCGCAGAUAUCGGGAGGAACACCGGUGGCGAAGGCGGCUUCCUGGACCGGUACUGACGCUGAGACGCGAAAGCCAGGGGAGCAAACGGG